GACCUGUUCAACUCUGUCACAUAUGCCCCAUUGGAGAAUGGCCUAGAGAUGGAGGAGCCAUGAGGAAACAGGCACAGAUAUGAAACCUUUAAUGUAACAACCUCAAGGAUGAGAAGAUGUUGGUUCAUUCAAAUACAGACAAUAUAUGGAAAAGCAACAACAAGCAUACAAGCAGCGUGUUGGCGAGGAUCUACCUACCAGGGUGACUCAAGAAUUCUUUGCACACAGUUGAUAUAUACCGAACAAUGAAUGGAUAAAAACUCGGGAUGCCUCUUUUUGUGAAGAGUAUACGUAUAUCUCUGUGGAUACAGGUCAUUAUACACUCCCUCUCGAUGAUUGCCAUCAUCUCGUCCACCUCUUUGCUCGCAACCUUCAACUGGGGAUGGAGCGCCUCCAGCUCGGCUUGCAUCGUGGCCACUUGAGAUGCCGCAGAAUCCAGUUUGUCCAAGCCCACUUCAUACCUCUUCUUCAUUUUCAUGACCUCGCUGGAAGCAGACAGAUUUUGAAAGUGGAGAUUAAUUCAAGAUACGAGAAUAACUACAUUUAACAAAGCAAACCGGAUGUUAUGUACACAAAUGUUUGAAAGCCAUGGAGAAGUCAAAGAGAACGUAAAGUACUACUGUGGCCUACUAGACUUAUAGCCUGUGUCCAUGUCCCAGGAUAUUCAUCCCACUCUGGCAAGUAAGGGACCUACAGAGAGUGCAGUAAGAAUCCACAGGUCAGGGGACGCCUGGGUGGCUCAGUGGUUGAGUGUCUGCCUUUGGCUCAGGAUGUGAUCCUGAAGUUCUAGGAUCGAGUCCCACAUCGGGCUCCCUGCAUGGAGCCUGCUUCUC